rnacentral:sRNA from 1 species
GCCAGGCAUGGUGGCCCACUCCUGUAAUCCCAGCAGCUUUGGAGGCUGAGGAAGGAGAAUCUCAAGUUCAAAGUCAGCCUCAGCAACUUAGUGAGGAAGCAACUCAGGGAGACCCUGUCUCUA